rnacentral:lncRNA from 1 species
ACCCUGACAUCUGGGCUCCCAGGUUCAGGAGCUCUGCUGGAGAAAAUCACAGCCCACGCAGAUUGGCGCUACUACAAAGUCAUCUGCAGCCUCAGCGGGCUGCUGAGCAGCCUGAGACCUGACAUGGUGAUUUUCUUUGAAGAAAAAGACGGCAACUUCCAGAAAUGAGUACUGUGGUUUAGAAAGAAAGCACCUGACCUUGUGGCGAGAGUUCAUCUUGUUCUGUUCUACUUAAAAAGAAAUACAGAAGAUGAAGAAAGAAGGAAAAAAAUAUUCCACUGGGUGAUGGUGAUCCAUGUCUUUAAUCGCAGCACUCAGGAGGCAGAGGCAGGUGGAUCCCUGAGUUCGAGGCCAGCCUGGUCUCCAGAGCAAGUUCCAGGACAGCCAGGGCUACACAGAGGAACCCUAUAUUGAAAAAAACAAACAAAACAAAACAAAAAUAUAAACCAGUUUCCUUAGACUUAGAGAAUUCCAGUCUCUCUGCGGAUCCUGAGCCCUCUGAGGGGCCUAACAAGAACUUUGCAGACAUUCUUUGCCUGCUAAAGAAACCCUGACUACACAGCUGGUUCCUUCACCAGGGCUCCGAGUUUUUCUACCAAUUCCUUUCUACUCCUCCUUUGUGACUUUGCUUCAUGUCCAUUAGAAGGGGAAAGAGAGAUAAUUUCUGCUUCUUCGAGAGAGGCCAAGAUGAAGCCAAACUUCUAAAAAGAUGGGGACUCAUUAUUUAAUAUAAUUUCAGGAUUAGCCUUGGGUAUUUCAGUGGAGGGGCUAAAGGAAAGGCUCUCUCAAACGAGAUUCAUUUCUACCUCCCACCAAAGGAGAAGGGAGACAAAUACUGGCUCAGUGGGGGUUCAGGUUGCAGCUUAAUUCCUCAUCUGCCCAGAGAAACAACCCACAGGGGGAAAAAAAGGAGGCAUCAGGCUUGCUGGUAAACUCCCCUACCUCUGAGUCAUCCUGGUGCCCAAAUGUUUAAAUGAUGUUUAAAAGAGAAAUUCAGAAACACAGUGUCGUUGUCAUUGUCAUUGUCAUCAGGACAAACAGACGCUGCCCAGGCAAGCUCAGAAACCCAGCUUCAAAGGUGGCUUCAUUCAAAAACCCUCCAAUUGAGGACCAGGACUGUUCGCAUUAUCCAUCAUGGGAUCUGGUCCAGGCCAGUGCCCAUACGAUCAAUCAACGUCUCAAACAUCUCUUUAGGAUGACUACUCAGCUACAGUCAUGGAUUAAAGAUGCGAGAGAGAGAGAGAGAGAGAGAGAGAGAGAGAGAGAGAGAGAGAGAGAGAGAGAGAGACAUAGCUCCCAGUGAUGAACGCCACCUUUGCAUCCCAAGUGUGAAGUCACAGCCUCUCCUCCAGGAGGGCUGAUAGGAUGGAUAACAAUUGGCUUUCAGCCGUUGCUGAUAUGACAAACGUUUUUUUUUUUUUUAAUUUGAGUUUUUAGAAUGGCAAUUAAAAAGAAAAAUGACUCCGGUGGAAGACGGGAGGCAAAUCACAGCUAAAUCACACUUUGAAAGAACAACAAUCCAGAACUUUCUGUUUUCUGAUGGCCAUGUCGAUUAUGCCCAAUAGGUGCCUUUGUGGCUUGUUUUACUACUCUGCCUACAGAUAUACUUCCAUGUCUCUGAUGAAUCAGUCUGUCUCCAUCUUAGGCUUGGAAGCCAUCUCAUAGUAACAGUAAACUAGAUUCAUUCCUGUGUA